rnacentral:rRNA from 1 species
UACGUAGGGGGCAAGCGUUGUCCGGAUUUAUUGGGCGUAAAGAGCGUGUAGGCGGCUAGGUAGGUCCGUUGUGAAAACUCGAGGCUCAACCUCGAGACGUCGAUGGAAACCAUCUAGCUAGAGUCCGGAAGAGGAGAGUGGAAUUCCUGGUGUAGCGGUGAAAUGCGCAGAUAUCAGGAAGAACACCCGUGGCGAAGGCGGCUCUCUGGUACGUGACUGACGCUGAGACGCGAAAGCCAGGGGAGCAAACGGG